CCUACGGGAGGCAGCAGUGAGGAAUAUUGGUCAAUGGGCGGGAGCCUGAACCAGCCAAGUCGCGUGAGGGAAGACGGUCCUAUGGAUUGUAAACCUCUUUAGGCGGGGAGCAAUGCCGGGCACGCGUGCCCGGAGGGAGAGUACCCGCAGAAUAAGCAUCGGAUAACUCCGUGCCAGCAGCCGCGGUAAUACGGAGGAUGCGAGCGUUAUCCGGUUUUAUUGGGUUUAAUGGGUGCGUAGGUGGAUUUUUAAGUCAGCGGUAAAUUGUCCGGGCUCAACCCGGGCCGGCCGUUGAAACUGGGGAGCGUGAGUGGGCGAGAAGUAUGCGGAAUGCGUGGUGUAGCGGUGAAAUGCAUAGAUAUCACGCAGAACUCCGAUUGCGAAGGCAGCAUACCGACGCCCGACUGACGCUGAGGCACGAAAGCGUGGGGAUCGAACAGGAUUAGAUACCCCUGUAGUC
rnacentral:rRNA from 1 species